rnacentral:rRNA from 1 species
CCUACGGGAGGCAGCAGUAGGGAAUUUUCCGCAAUGGGCGAAAGCCUGACGGAGCAACGCCGCGUGAGUGAGGACGGCCUUCGGGUUGUAAAACUCUGUUCUUGAGGAAGAAUCCUGUGGAUGUGAACAGCAUCGACAAUUGACGGUACUCAAGGAGAAAGCCCCGGCUAACUACGUGCCAGCAGCCGCGGUAAUACGUAGGGGGCAAGCGUUAUCCGGAAUUAUUGGGCGUAAAGCGCGCGCAGGCGGUCGGUUAAGUCAGGUGUGAAAGGCUGCGGCUCAACCGCAGAGCGGCAUCUGAAACUGGUCGGCUUGAGUGCAGGAGAGGGGAGCGGAAUUCCCGGUGUAGCGGUGGAAUGCGUAGAGAUCGGGAGGAACACCAGUGGCGAAGGCGGCUCUCUGGCCUGUAACUGACGCUGAGGCGCGAAAGCGUGGGUAGCAAACAGGAUUAGAUACCCUGGUAGUCCACGCCGUAAACGAUGAGUGCUAGGUGUUGGGGGCUACGCCCCUCAGUGCCGAAGGCAACCCAUUAAGCACUCCGCCUGGGGAGUACGGCCGCAAGGCUGAAACUCAAAUGAAUUGACGG